rnacentral:lncRNA from 1 species
AUGAACACACAAUUUAAACGUAUUGGCUCACGCCCCAAGACAAGAGAUCCGAGGCGCGAGCGAGGAGCUGCAGCUCCCGGGUGCACGCAGAUGCACGGGCAGAACUUGACCGAAACCGGCCCCGUUACCCUGGGGGCGUGCAAGGUGCCGCCGAGCCCAGCCCCCCCCGCCCCCCACCCCCCCAUCCCCAGCCGGUGGGUCUCGCCCAACCAGGGACGGUGGGCGGGGGCCGAGGGGAGCGGGAGCCCCGAGCCCCGAGCCCCGGAUGGGUCCCUCGCCGCCCCGCGACCCCGACCCGGCCCACGGGGGAGGCCCGGCCGCCGAGACAAUGGGGACCUCGGGCGGCGGGUCGCGGUCCGGGGUCGGCGCGGUCAGCGGCGGAGGCCACGGCCGGGAGCCCUCCUUCAGCCUCCUUCUACAUCUUUGUUCUCCCAAGUAGUCGCUCUGUUUCGUGCCCAAAGAAAAGAGGAGGAGGACGGCCCCGUGGGUGCGCGCCCCCCCCCGUCUCCCGCAGCGCCGCGGGCUUCCCGGGCCCCCCUCCGGCCGGUGCCGCCUGGGUCCCCGGCGAGGUCCGGGCUCGGGAGGCUUGCUGCUCCCGCCGGUGCACGCCCCUCCUCGCCGCCCCCUCCCGGGGAAGGACCGCGGGCGUCCUCCCCACGCGCCCCCUCCGCGCUGGACCCGGGCGGGGAGCCCCGCGACCCAGGUGGAGCAGCCCGCACCCCGCCCUCCCCCAGACCCGCGCCCCGCGCCCCGCGCCCCGCCGCCGCCCUACCUGCCGCAGGAGGGUCCACGGGAGACGCGCGCAGCCGGCGGCGCCCACGCGGGGGUCGGCUCGGGGUGCGCCGCGAAGGUGCGCGGGGGCGACGGCUCCCGGGGUGCGGGAAGGGCUCGGGGCGCGGGGCGCGGGGCGCGGGGCGCGGGGCUCGGGGCGCGCUGCGGGGCCGCUCGGAGCCCGCGGGGCUGCACUGGCUCGGCCCGCCCCCCGGACCCGCGGCCGCGCUCGCCCCUCCCCGCGCGCCCCGCCGGCCGCCGGCUCGGCUCCGGGUGUCGGGGGCGCCGCCCGCCCGCCCCCGCCCCUGCCCCCGCCCCCGCGGCUCGCGCUCGCUCCGCGCCGGGCCCGGCCUCCCUCCUUCCCACGCUUUCACGCGCCUCCGGAGACCGCGCCUCUGGCUCGGCUCCCCGCGCCUCCGAUCCUCCCCCGCGGGCCCCCGCCCCCGCCUUGCUGACAGUCCCGGAAUGGGGCUCCCUCGUCCAACUUUCCCUUCCUGA